rnacentral:rRNA from 4 species
UUAAAUUGAAGAGUUUGAUCAUGGCUCAGAUUGAACGCUGGCGGCAGGCCUAACACAUGCAAGUCGAACGGUAACAGGGAUCAGCUUGCUG